CCCAGACCUCUCCACUCCAUCCCAGAGCCGCCGGCACGCCGCUGGCAAGGGGAGGGCCAGGAUUCCCUCGAGGGACUUGGAUUAGUGGAAUACCUUGAUGGUGCUUUCCAGCUCUUAAUCUACAGCCCUAUAUACUCCAGUCUAUCAUGAUGUCCUCUUUGCUUUGGGCCGCUUAAGCACUAUAUUUAUUUUUGAGAUUGAAGUAGGGUUGGGAAGAAAAAUGUUCAAAUGGCAAAUUACUGCCCAUAGAUGAUUGCUCCAGCUUUGAGACAGCAGGAUUAACUCCAUAAGAAUUUUGGAGGUCUAUCACUUUGCAGUGCUGAAGAAGCCUGUCGACACCUCUCCUGGCUGUUCUCUGACUGACUGUAGCUGUGAAAGAGGAACAGCUGUGAAGCCCUGGCUAGAGGAAGGGGCAGUGGAGAUCUAACCUUGGCUAGCUAAUCUUCCUACCCUUCUGCCAAGUGUUCCUGAGCACAUGGACUCUAUUUCUGUGAAUCGAGGGUGCUUGGCAGGCUUUAAAUCAGGAUCAUUCUCUCCCGGGCCAUCCAUCACCUAUGACCAAGAUGAAAACUCACGUAAACUUGGAAAACAUGCAAAGUCAAGAGUGAAUUAUCAGGUGCCUUUAGGAAUUAUGAAUGAGGUGGGGAAACUGAGGCCUAGACCUGCCAAAAGGACUUGCUAAGGUCACACCAUCUGGGGUGGAGGAAGGAAUGUAACACAGUGCAGGUCACCUGACUCUGUCCAGUUCUUUCACUUGUACCACAUUGUCUUUUCCAAGAAAAUAAAGAUUCCUCCUGUAACCCCAAUAAAUAUGUAAAGAUGGCCAUGAUAUAUGAUAUACUUAUCAGAAAGAAAAGCUUAUAUUUAAAAAAAGUUAAAUAUUGAUACAGUAAUAGAAUCUGUUAAGCCCAGGGGUCUUUGGGUCACGGCUCAUUAAAAGCAUUAACAAAGAUUAUUCCAGGCCAUCUUACCUCCUGAACAAAAGUAUGGUCCUAAACCUACUUAUUCCUUCAUGCCUCAUUCAUGUCAUUCAACGAAUAUUUGUGUAGUACUUCUUGUGCACAAGUCAUAUGACAGUAUCUUUUAUAUCUAACUCCCAUGAUCUCAAACAAACAAUAAAUAAUAUGAAACAGAAAGCAAGUUGGGCAA